rnacentral:rRNA from 1 species
GAUGAACGCUAGCUGGAGGCUUAAUACAUGCAAGUCGAGCGGGAUUGGGUAGCAAUACCCAUGAGAGCGGCGCACGGGUGAGUAACGCGUACACGACCUACCUCUAACAGGGGGAUAGCCCUGGGAAACUGGGAUUAAUACCGCAUAUUAUUCUGAAUAAUAAAGGUUUGGAAUGAAAGCUGAGGCGGUUAGAGAUGGGUGUGCGUCUGAUUAGCUAGUUGGUAGGGUAACGGCCUACCAAGGCGAUGAUCAGUAGGGGGCGUGAGAGCGUGGUCCCCCACACGGGUACUGAGACACGGACCCGACUCCUACGGGAGGCAGCAGUAAGGAAUAUUGGUCAAUGGGCGAAAGCCUGAACCAGCCAUCCAGCGUGCAGGAAGAAGGCCCUAUGGGUUGUAAACUGCUUUUAUCAGGGAAGAAACCUCUGGAUUUACUCCGGAGCUGACGGUACCUGAAGAAUAAGCACCGGCUAACUCCGUGCCAGCCGCCGCCGUAACAC